GUCAUUUUUUUUUUUUUUUUUUUUUUUGCGCACAGCUCUCUCUAUCUUCCUCAAUAAGGUAUGCAACGGGUUAAGGAGCGGGGCUUCAGAGUCCUCUUCUCUUGUUCGCCACGAUGAACAAAUGAACUCUUGGGGAAUGAAAUUUAAAUUCCAUAAAGGAGAAAAAGUUCUCUGUUUUGAACCUGACCCAUCCAAGGCCAAGGUGCUCUACGAUGCAAAGGUUGUUGACAUAGCAACAGUAAAAGAUGACAAGGGAAAAAGGGUCCCAAAUUAUCUGAUUCAUUUCAGUGGUUGGAACAGAAGUUGGGAUCGCUGGGCUGCAGAAGAUCAUGUGCUCAGAGAUUCUGAAAAUAAUCGCAUAUUACAACGUAAACUGGCACGCAAAGCUUUGGCUCGCAUGAGGAAAAAGGGAUGGAAGAAGCGACGCUGUCGUCUGCCAGGUGUUAACCCAAUCUUGAAGACCCUGACUGAAGAGGAAAAGGAGAAGAGUGAUGAUGCUUCUUUGAUCUCGCCAUCUGAUGAUAGUGACGAAGACAUUUCAGACCAGGCGUCUUUAAAAAGUGAGAGUGACUCAUCUGAGGAUUUAAACAACAUGAGGGAAGAACAAGAGCCGCAGACCAAAAGGGAGAGUGAAGAUAAGAGCAUCACUAUAAACAUUGACAUCCCUGAUGUUCUCAAGAAGAAGCUGGAAGAUGACUGUUACUAUAUCAACAAAAGAAAGAAGCUGGUGAAGCUUCCUUGCCUGAUGAAUGUAGUAAACAUUCUGGAGUCUUAUGUGAAACACUUCACCCUAAAUGCAGCUUUCUCAGCUAAUGAGCGCUAUCGGUAUCCUCAGAGCUCCACGCAGACCAAUAUGAUUCCGCACUAUAUGCCACCUGAGAGGAAUGAGGAGCUCUGUAAAGAAAUGGUGGAUGGUUUGAGGAUCACAUUCGACUUUACCCUUCCACUUAUCCUGCUGUACCCAAACGAACAAGCUCAGUUCAAAAAAAUAAGCUCCUCCAAGUUCUUCCAACCAAUUACUGACAGCGCAGCCUGCACCAGUAGGAAUCUCAGAGAACGUUCCCCCAGUCCUGGCCAGAAUCCUUCUACCCCCCAGUCCACAGACAGCCAAGCAGCUCUGAGCGAAACCUCUUGUGUCCCUGUCAUCAUGGCAACCCCGCCUAAGCGCAGACGCUGUGCCUACCUGGAUUCUGAUGCCACACAAUCCUUGCGUCGCUCAACACGCAAUACAUCCGGAGGGGAUCGGGCGGCAGAAGCUGGGGGUGGAGGCAGCAGCAAUGCCUCUCCUCAACCAAAGAGAAGGCUUACUGAGGUGCAAGCACCACUACCCAAGUUCUUCCUCAACCUAGAGAAGAAAACUCCUGUUCACAGUGGCUCCUCAUCUCCUUUGCCCUUGACACCGAGCAAGGAUUACACUGGAGGGCUUUUCUCAGGGCUGGAAACCCAGAGGAACUACGAACUAAAUGAGGUUCUGAGCUGGAGACUGACACCAGAUAACUACCCUCAGAGUGACCAGCUUCCACCUCCCUCUUACCUCUAUGGCUCUCAGCACCUGCUUCGGCUAUUUGUGAAACUUCCAGAAAUCCUGAGGAAGAUGCACAUACCAGAAAAGAACCUGAGGGCACUAGUGAAACACUUUGAGCUUUUCCUCAGAUGAUGAGGUUGAUGAGGUUCCAGCAGAUGAUGAGGUUUCCCUCGCAGCAUCAGGAGGUGGCCCUGUCUACCCGUCUACUCGUCGUCGAAGUCGGCCUUCUGCAAGUGCUGCAUUGGCCCUGCCUCAGCCUGGACCGGCAGCAAGACUCCAGCGGUCUUCCCAUAAGCAGGUGGCGCCACCUACCCAUGGACGCGAAUCUUUCGUCGUCCUGCGCUCUGAUGCCCCAGGCCCACACUCCGGUUUUUGGCAGAGUUUCAUGAGGACUUCUUUCCAGAGUCUGCAUAUGUGUCUGCAACUGAAGCUCAUUACAGCAUGAAGCAACCACGCUCAAUCUUUUAAAAAUCCAUUGGGGAGAGAGUUUCUUCUGUACUGUGCUCCCCUGAAGUUCUGGUCUACCCCUAAUACUGAAUGUCCAGCCUUUGUUCUUUCUACUUGCAAAUCCUAACAAUUUACCUGGAGUGUUUCCAGUGGUCCAUUUCUACCUUUUCAGUUGACAUUCAUAACAAUGCUUUCUUGACAAUCUUUAUAUAUGUGUGUGUGUGUGUGUGUGUGUGUGUGUAUAUAUGUGUAUAUAUAUGUGUGUAUGUAUAUAUAUAUAUAUAUAUAUAUAUAUAUAUAUAUAUAUAUAUAUAUAUAUAUAUAUAUAUAUAUGUAUAUAUGUGUGUGUGUAUGUAUGUAUAUAUAUAUAUAUAUAUAUAUAUGUAUAUAUAUAUAUAUAUAUAUAUAUAUAUAUAUAUAUAUAUAUAUAUAUGUAUAUAUAUAUAUAUAUAUAUAUAUGUAUAUGUAUAUGUAUAUGUUUUCUUAUAAAGUAUUUUGAAUUCAGUCUCACAAGAAUGAUCAUUUUCUUGUUGCAUAGUUUAUGCUGUAUUAAGCCACCAUUACCUCUUGUGCCUGUGAUUUUUUUCUUCAUCUUAAACUGAACAACUGACUACUUUUGCCAAGUUUUCCUUAUUUUGCAGCAGCUGUCUUCUAACUUGUGCUUUACAUCUCCUCCCUCUGAAUGUGCUUAAACAAGCAACUUUACAAAAGCAGCAUAAGAUGUUUAUUACGCAUUUCUCCAUUGUUGCCACACAGAAUUAUUGUAGUAACAUUGUUAUAAAUUAUAUAUAGUUCUUUGAAUUAUCCUUUUGAGUGUGAAUGAAUGAAUUCAUAUGUUAUUUUCUUUAUGUAAAUUAAUAUGUAUAAAGUUGUUACUGGUAAAAGUUUUUAUCUCUUUUGUGUGAACAGGACAAGGCUGGGUUAAAACAAUACAUUGUUUUUUUUUUUUCAUUCAUUAUGAUUAAGUUCAUUAUUCCCAUGUUUUCCUCUUUCCUCUGUGUAUUUGUUUUCUAUGGUGUCUUGUAGAUUAUCUGUCAACGUCACUUAUGGUGGUGCUUAAUUUCUCGGUUUUUCAACCAAUACAUUAUUCAAACAUUUGUAUAAAAGACCUCAAAUCUAUACAUUGUUGUAAGAAAAAUACUGCUUUGUUGCUGAUUUUGUCACAAAAUUAUGAAAACAGAUUGAAGACUGGAUACAAAUAUAAAUGUGGUUUAUUAAAACCAAACGGUAAACAGGC